UAGACAGGUUAUUGUAUUCGACUGUAUUCACGGUGUGAAGCAGGGGAUUACACUGUUUUUAAACAGAAUGUGAAUCAAUUAAUAUAAAGACUCCU
rnacentral:pre_miRNA from 1 species